GGUUAAGCGACUAAGCGUACACGGUGGAUGCCCUGGCAGUCAGAGGCGAUGAAGGACGUGCUAAUCUGCGAAAAGCGUCGGUAAGGUGAUAUGAACCGUUAUAGCCGGCGAUGUCCGAAUGGGGAAACCCAGUGCAAUUCGUUGCACUAUCGUUAACUGAAUACAUAGGUUAACGAGGCGAACCGGGGGAACUGAAACAUCUAAGUACCCCGAGGAAAAGAAAUCAACCGAGAUUCCCCCAGUAGCGGCGAGCGAACGGGGAGCAGCCCAGAGUCUGAAUCAGCUUGUGUGUUAGUGGAACGGUCUGGAAAGUCCGACGGUACAGGGUGAUAGUCCCGUACACCAAAAUGCACAGGUUGUGAACUCGAAGAGUAGGGCGGGACACGUGGUAUCCUGUCUGAAUAUGGGGGGA
rnacentral:rRNA from 1 species